rnacentral:rRNA from 1 species
GACGAACGCUGGCGGCGUGCCUAAUACAUGCAAGUUGAGCGCUGAAGGUUGGUACUUGUACCAACUGGAUGAGCAGCGAACGGGUGAGUAACGCGUGGGGAAUCUGCCUUUGAGCGGGGGACAACAUUUGGAAACGAAUGCUAAUACCGCAUAAAAACUUUAAGCACAAGUUUUAAGUUUGAAAGAUGCAAUUGCAUCACUCAAAGAUGAUCCCGCGUUGUAUUAGCUAGUUGGUGAGGUAAAGGCUCACCAAGGCGAUGAUACAUAGCCGACCUGAGAGGGUGAUCGGCCACAUUGGGACUGAGACACGGCCAAAACUCCUACGGGAGGCAGCAGUAGGGAAUCUUCGGCAAUGGACGAAAGCCUGACGGAGCAACGCCGGGGGAGUGAAGAAGGUGUUCGGAUCGUAAAACUCUGUUGGUAGGGAAGAACGUGGGGGGAAGGGGAAGCCCACACAAGGGAGGUAAACAAUCAAAAAGGGACGGGUAAAUUAGGG